rnacentral:ncRNA from 2 species
AUGAAGAAUACGGGAGAAACGGGGCUAUGCCCCGUACCGAAGAUGCAAGCUAAUAUCUUCCCCGGGUAUUAGCGAAUCUUUCAGGUGCAAAGACCGUAUUCUGACA